GACAAAAUUCAUAUAUAAGAAGUAAACCUCACAAAAUAGUUUUUGUAUUUUCUAUCUUUUCUGUUUGUCAAUUUUAUUUUGUCACCAUUGAUAACUCUAAUUGAUUCUUAAUAUUCUUAAUUGAGUGUUUACUUGAAAACUUAUAUUAUGAAAGUUUUCAACGAUGACGAUUAUUGUACUUGUUACAGUGAUCUUAUUGGAAAAGAAUUUAAUAAGUCUGAACUUGAAGUUGCUUCAAUUAUGUUGAAUCUUUCUCAUCCUGUGGUUUAUGAAAGGGGAGCUACUAGACUUGGGACUCGCAUCCUUCGCCACCCGUGGUUAAGAAAAUCAAUUCAGCCACGCAUAUUUCGGGUUAUAGAUUAUAAACUUAUGGCUAAGAAAAAGGGGUUUUCCAUUCCUGUAAUGAAGCAAGCAGUUUCAGCACGUCAAAGAAUAUUUAGAAAAGCUAGACAGAGAAAAAUUGCUAUACUUAGAUACAAGAGGCUCAAGCUUCUCUCAUGCCAGAAGAAAAUUUUGUUUCUUGACUCAUCUUCUUAAGAUUAACUGAUGAUCAUAUAUGCAUCAGGCGGAUAUUCUUAUUUUUUUCUUAUAUAUUGUGGUUUGUCUAUUUCUUGUGGUUUUUCUUAGAUAUGAACAUUUAUUGUGGUUUGUCUAUUUCUUCUUUUUUUUUUUUUCCCAUAUCUGGUCUGGCAUGAAGAUUGUCUAUACAUGGCUGGAAUAUAUUAUUUUUUUUUGCUUAAAAACAUGGCUGGAAUAUUGGAAGUCUAAACACAAAGAUAUGCGACUAGACAAACUUUGACUUUUUAUAUAAACAAAACUAGAUUUUGACCCGCGCUUUUGAAGCGCGGAGUAUUUUAACAUGAAAAUUUUUACUAAUAAUUUACUAAAUAUUUUGGUAAUUUUUAAAGAGUGUGUAUUUAAAAUAUUUUUGCAUUUAAAUCAGUAUUUUUAAAUUCAACCCGAUUGUGAUUAUACCGGUUAAUCCGGAGAUCUGACAAUUCAAUUUAUGUUUUUAAAAUAUUCAUAUUAAAAAAUCACUAAGACUAACCGAUUGAACUGAUGGAUGACCGAUAUGUAAUCUAAUUGGAUUUAAAUUGUAAUAGUUUCAUAAUUUGUAAUCUUAUAAUCGAAAUUUUAAAGUUCACUAUUUUGCAAUUUAUGAAAUUAUGAUGUUUCUACAAAAUUUUAAAGAGAAAAUGAUAGAUAUAAAAUAAUUAAGAUUAAUUAUUGUAUUAUUUGGAAACAUUGAUAGUAGUAUAAAAAAUAUAUUGUUUGAAAACAUUGAUAGUAGUAUAAAAAAAUAAGUAUAUUGUUUGGAAACGUUGAUAGUAGUAUAAAGAAAUAAGUAUAUUGUUUGGAAACAUGAAUAGUAGUAUAAAGAAAGAAACAUUAGUGAUUUGAUGUAUGUUUAACUAUAAAGUAUAAAAGUGUAUUUAAUUUAAAAAUUUACAAAAUAAAUGUUAGGUCCAACAGAAUGUUUCUGUUUUAAUAAGAUAGAUAUAACAACCUAAAAAGAAGAUUUGCUCGUCGAGUUCUUUUGUGAUAAUUUGUCUUGUUAAAAAAAAGUAAUUGACGCGGAUCAGCAGCUCACAUCAGGUUUUGGAGUCCAACAGUAUUUGCUUGCUGAGUUAAAUCCAGAACUGUGAGUGAGAUGUAUUGUCUGUGAGCCACGUAAGCGAGCGUUACGAAAACCCAGGUUGAAGAAAUCCAGUCAAAUGAGAAGAGGGCCCAAAAUGUAGAUAAUAAGCCCAUUACGUUAAAGCGCCGUCGUAUCAUACGCGUCAAAUAAACCCUAGAGUGGCUUCAUCAUCCUUUAAAAGGACAUCCAGCCUUCAAAAACAGCAUCGCCGGUUGAAAGUUUAUUCUUCUCGUCGCUGUUUUUUGUUUUUCUUAUCUUUGGUGUUUGAUCUUCUUUUUAGUGUUUCAAAAGAAAACUGAUUAUUUUCGUGUAUGUGAAGGAAGAUGGAUAUUCAGAUGAUGAGAUUUGAUCUAAAAUUCUCACGACGGUCGUCUGAGACUAUGUGUCGAUUGAUGUACCGAUCGCUUUUCUCUGAUGAAUAAAAAGAAAAAAUUUCUUCA